UACGGAGGGUGCAAGCGUUAUCCGGAUUCACUGGGUUUAAAGGGUGCGUAGGUGGGUCUGUAAGUCAGUGGUGAAAUCUUCGAGCUUAACUCGGAAACUGCCAUUGAUACUAUAGAUCUUGAAUUUUCUGGAGGUAAGCGGAAUAUGUCAUGUAGCGGUGAAAUGCUUAGAUAUGACAUAGAACACCAAUUGCGAAGGCAGCUUACUACGGGAAUAUUGACACUGAGGCUCGAAAGCGUGGGGAUCAAACAGG
rnacentral:rRNA from 1 species